UAGAGUUUGAUCCUGGCUCAGGAUGAACGCUAGCGGCAGGCUUAACACAUGCAAGUCGAGGGGCAUCGGGAGGGAAGCUUGCUUUCCUUGCCGGCGACCGGCGCACGGGUGAGUAACACGUAUGCAACCUGCCCUCUUCAGGGGGACAACCUUCCGAAAGGGAGGCUAAUCCCGCGUAUAUCGGUUUCGGGCAUCCGAGAUCGAGGAAAGAUUCAUCGGAAGAGGAUGGGCAUGCGGCGCAUUAGCUUGACGGCGGGGUAACGGCCCACCGUGGCGACGAUGCGUAGGGGUUCUGAGAGGAAGGUCCCCCACACUGGUACUGAGACACGGACCAGACUCCUACGGGAGGCAGCAGUGAGGAAUAUUGGUCAAUGGGAGAGAUCCUGAACCAGCCAAGCCGCGUGAGGGAAGACGGCCCUAUGGGUUGUAAACCUCUUUUGUCGGAGAACAAAACCCGGGACGUGUCCCGGACUGCGUGUAUCCGAAGAAAAAGCAUCGGCUAACUCCGUGCCAGCAGCCGCGGUAAUACGGAGGAUGCGAGCGUUAUCCGGAUUUAUUGGGUUUAAAGGGUGCGUAGGCGGUCCGUUAAGUCAGCGGUAAAAUUGCGGGGCUCAACCCCGUCGAGCCGUUGAAACCGGCAGACUUGAGUUGGCGAGAAGUACGCGGAAUGCGCGGUGUAGCGGUGAAAUGCAUAGAUAUCGCGCAGAACUCCGAUUGCGAAGGCAGCGUACCGGCGCCAGACUGACGCUGAGGCACGAAAGCGUGGGGAUCGAACAGGAUUAGAUACCCUGGUAG
rnacentral:rRNA from 1 species